UAGUCCACGCCGUAAACGAUGGAUACUAAGUGUUGGGGAAAACUCAGUGCUGCAGUUAACGCAAUAAGUAUCCCGCCUGUGGAGUAUGCACGCAAGUGUGAAACAUAAAGGAAUUGACGGGGGCCCGCACAAGCGGUGGAGUAUGUGGUUUAAUUCGACGCAACGCGAAGAACCUUACCAGGCCUUGACAUCCCUUGCAAAGACUUAGAGAUAAGUUAGAGGUUAUCAAGGUGAC
rnacentral:rRNA from 1 species